ensembl:lncRNA
GUGCCCUCCCAGAAGAGACGCAGGUGGGCAACGGAGCCCCUGUCGGAACCUCUGGGGCAAAUGGUGGCGGCGGCGGUGGUGGCGUCGGGGGCAGCAUGGAUCGCACAACUACCACCCAACACAAGCUUCACACCAUACCAAUGAUAGCUCUGCAUGACGAAGGGGAAUCAGGCAUGCGGUAUGCUCCUCCAGCCGUCUCAGUGGCCGCCGCCCCAGUUCAUAGCAAGCCCGCGGGCUCCUCACAACAACACUGGGCAAGAGCACAGCCCGAGCCGACGGCUAAUCGCACCGGCGAGGUUUUCCAGGAGCCUCCAGACUCGCUCCGAGUGUCAGAGAUCCGUUCUCAGCACACGUACGAAACAUUAUCCGACAUGGUAAAAGACCCGAGUCCGGAACUUUCCGAGAGCCCGGACGAACCGCUGGACGUGCCCUCCUACCAGUUUGUGACGCAGCUGGAACCCUACGCCACCUCGGCCCCCGACCUGACGGAACCCCAGCACACGUCAGCGCACAGCCCCGCCAUCGAGGUGGAGGAGAUCGCAGACCUGGAGACAAGCACACUAAGGCCUUGUACGCCAGGGUGAGCAGAAGAAUCAAGUGCCCCACGCCACCCCCCAUGCCCCCGCCUGAGGAUGACGAGGAGGAAGAGGAAGUGGCAGAAGUCGUACCACCGCUGCCAGACAGAGCCCCCGACACAGAUAACACCCUCCCCCAAGGGCUCUAGGCAACACUGUUGGAGCUUUAGAUGCAUCUACUCUUAUUUAUAUAUUCAAUAUGUAUUCUGUCUUUCCCAGCACAUCGUUUGUGGGUUAUGUAUUGUUUGCUACUUUAAAGAUAAAAUGAUUUUAAAAGCACUCUGCUCAAGCAGGAAAUGCACUUGAGGUUUUGCCAUAUCAACUCACAUUAGAGACAGACUGUCCACCAAUUCUGAACUCAAUGCUGUGGGAACAGACUACACUACAGAUAUUUAGGGUUAGGGGUUCAUGUCCUUUCCUAUUUUAUGUUCACAGUUGUAAACACCUAUUCUAGUAAAGGGAUUGACUAAACAAAUGCUUUAAAUUCAAAUGUAUUAUUAAAUGUGUUGAAUUGUUUAUUCAGAUGCAAGGUUAGAUUUCAAGUUUGAGGUGAGACUAGGCCUAUGCCACACACACACAACUCAUUGGAAAACUUCCAGAAUGUAUCAUUACAACAAGCGAAGGACUUUCAUCAAGCUAAAAGUGCAGCAGGUCAGCAAAUUAGAAUUCUUAAACUGUUGUGUACUUUGUCUGAAAACACUAGAGAAUAGAGCCCGUAUCAAACACACAGAACAUGUACAAUGUUUUAUCUUUAAAUAAGGAUGAUGAGGUUAGAUUAAAUAUUAACAUUUAAGAACAUAAUUUAAUGUAACAUAAAACAUGAGAAUUUGUGUAACAGAUGGGUUGUUUACACAACUGGGAUACUGUACUGUGUACACAGUGUGUGUGAUGCUCUAGUCAUCUAUUGACCAAUUUCUUAAUUUGAAGGGCAUCAUGUGUUCUCUUGGACUUGGUGACCUUUGACAUGAAUAAAAAGCAUAGCCUAGGUCGUGCGCGAUGGCA